rnacentral:rRNA from 1 species
AGUGAACGCUGGCGGUAGGCCUAACACAUGCAAGUCGAACGGCAGCACAGUAAGAGCUUGCUCUUACGGGUGGCGAGUGGCGGACGGGUGAGGAAUACAUCGGAAUCUACUUUUUCGUGGGGGAUAACGUAGGGAAACUUACGCUAAUACCGCAUACGACCUACGGGUGAAAGCAGGGGAUCUUCGGACCUUGCGCGAUUGAAUGAGCCGAUGUCGGAUUAGCUAGUUGGCGGGGUAAAGGCCCACCAAGGCGACGAUCCGUAGCUGGUCUGAGAGGAUGAUCAGCCGCACUGGAACUGAGACACGGUCCAGACUACUACGGGAGGCAGCAGUGGGGAAUAUUGGACAAUGGGCGCAAGCCUGAUCCAGCCAUACCGAGUGGGUGAAGGAGGCCUUCGGGUUGUAAAGACCUUUUGUUGGGAAAGAAAAGCAGCAGGUUAAUACCCCGCUGUUCUGACGGUACCCAAAGAAUAAGCACCGGCUAACUUCGUG